rnacentral:rRNA from 1 species
UACGUAGGUGGCAAGCGUUGUCCGGAUUUACUGGGCGUAAAGAGCGCGCAGGCGGUCGUUCAAGUCGCGUGUGAAAGCCCCCGGCUCAACUGGGGAGGGUCACGCGAUACUGAUCGACUCGAAGGCAGGAGAGGGAAGUGGAAUUCCCGGUGUAGUGGUGAAAUGCGUAGAUAUCGGGAGGAACACCAGUGGCGAAGGCGAACUUCCUGGCCUGUUCUUGACGCUGAGGCGCGAAAGCUAGGGGAGCAAACGGGG